rnacentral:rRNA from 1 species
UACGUAGGGUGCAAGCGUUGUCCGGAAUUAUUGGGCGUAAAGAGCUCGUAGGCGGUCUGUCGCGUCGGCUGUGAAAACUCGGGGCUCAACUCCGAGCCUGCAGUCGAUACGGGCAGACUAGAGUGCUGUAGGGGAGACUGGAAUUCCUGGUGUAGCGGUGAAAUGCGCAGAUAUCAGGAGGAACACCGAUUGCGAAGGCAGCUCGCUGGGACGUUACUGACGCUGAGACGCGAAAGCGUGGGGAGCAAACAGG